UGUCAGGAGGGCCCUGCCAGGCAUUGCUCAGCUGUUGUUUAAUGUGGCUCAAACGCUUACAGCAUAUAAGGCAAUGGCCCACACAGAAGAUGGACACCUUGUCCUCUGGAAGCUGGCAAACCAGCCUGAGGCUUGGGAGGCACUUAUUAGCAUUGUGAUCCUAAGACCCUCAGUGUGCCUUGGCUCCCUAUCUGUGGAAUGGCAGUGAUAGAAGCCGCUGGCUUGCACAACUCCCGGGAGCACCAUUCAGGCAGAGUACGAUGUGAGGAAAUCAAGGAUCAGAGGCUAAAGAAACAUCCCCAAGGUCACAAACCAGUGUGACGGAUCCUAGCAUGGAAACCUAACCUGGGACCAUCUGACUUCGAGGCCAGUGCCCUUUUCACUGCUUUGCACUACAUCUGGAAGGAUCCUGUAAGAAGGGCAUCAGAAGAGGGCAUUGGGCCAAGAAGAAGGAGACAAGGGAAGGCCCCAGGGACCAACUGAAGUUUGGUCACUGGGACAAGGCAUAGCAGUAUUACCGGAACAGAAAGGUGAAGUCCAGAAUGCCCCACCUUACCUCCAACUGGUCCCCCAUUGGGCUGAGCCUGGGCUUGCAGUGGGCUCACUGGCCCCCGUGCUGUACACAGAGCCCAGCAGCGUUGGACCGGUGUAUGCAUGUGCUUCCUCGCGUGGCAAAGGGUCAUUUAUAACGGAAAAUAUGGGAGUUGUUUUCCUUUCCAAGUAAGUGAUAUUUCUUGGUAAAAUGCUAAGAAAAUUCCUGAAA